rnacentral:tRNA from 1 species
GGCGAACGACGGGAAUUGAACCCGCACAUGAUGGAUCCACAACCCAUUGCCUUUGAUCCAUUUGGCUACAUCCGC